rnacentral:rRNA from 1 species
UACGGAGGUGGCAAGCGUUAUCCGGAAUUACUGGGUGUAAAGGGCGCGCAGGCGGCCCUGCAAGUCGGAUGUGAAAGAUCAAGGCUCAACCUUGACAGGCCAUUCGAAACUGUGGGACUUGAGUGUCAGAGGGGAAAGUGGAAUUCCUAGUGGAGCGGUAAAAUGCGCAGAUAUUAGGAGGAACACCGGUGGCGAAGGCGGGUCUCUGGCUAGUAACUGACGCUGAGGAGCGAAAGCGUGGGUAGCGAACAGGAUUAGAUACCCUGGUA